rnacentral:rRNA from 1 species
AUGGCGACCGACGGCGUGUCGAGGCUGAGCGUGGGGGUGAGCGUCAUGGUGGCGCUCAGCCUGGCCGUCUUCCUCACCAUCGUCAUCCUCCUCCUCGCCGACCUCUUCUGCUCCCACCUCCGCCGCCGCCGCCUCCGCGCGGACGCAAUGGAGGCGCCGCCGCACAAAUGGCCGAAGCGCGGCCACGGCGCCGCGGGGUCCCUGUCCCCGCCGCACGCCGCCGGCACGGCUGCCGACGACGCGUCCGUGGCCACCACGGCGACCACGGCCACCACCACGGCGCGCGAGGCGCUCACCAGCACCCCGCCCUUCUACUACGCGCACGGCGUCAUGUGCGCGCCCACCCGCAAGGACCUGCUCCUCGCCAUCCCCAGGCUGGAGGCCGCCGUGUGGAGGUGGUCGCCCGCGCGCCGCUCCUCGCCGCCGCGGUCGGACGAGCCCACCGCCCGCGGCUCCUCCUCCUCCUCCGCGCACAGCGACGGCCUCAUGUACAUCUCCAACCCAGUGUACGAGCGGGGCGCCCCCGCCGGGCACGAGCACGACACGCCGUUCGAGACGCCGGACGCAUCGCCGUCGCGGUACGGGAUUACAGAGGAAGUGCGGGGGGACGGGGCGUUCUCGCCGCCGCUGCCCAUGAUGAGGAAGCUGCCGCCGCUGGGCGUGCUGGCGUGCCCCCCGCCUGCGGUCUUCGACGGCCGGCCGCCGGUGACGUUGUGGCCCGGCACGGUCGCCGACGCCAAUCGGGCCUCCUCGUCGUCGUCCAACUUCACCGCGCGCUUCUUCUCUUCCUAG